UACAGAGGUCUCAAGCGUUGUUCGGAUUCAUUGGGCGUAAAGGGUGUGUAGGUGGCGCCGUAAGUCAGGUGUGAAAUUUCGGAGCUUAACUCCGAAACUGCAUUUGAUACUGCGGUGCUUGAGGACUGGAGAGGAGACUGGAAUUUACGGUGUAGCAGUGAAAUGCGUAGACAUCGUAAGGAAGACCAGUGGCGAAGGCGGGUCUCUGGACAGUUCCUGACGCUGAGGCACGAAGGUCAGGGGAGCAAACGGG
rnacentral:rRNA from 1 species